UACAGAGGUCUCAAGCGUUGUUCGGAUUUAUUGGGCGUAAAGAGCUCGUAGGCGGUUCCGUAAGUCAGAUGUGAAAACUCAGGCUCAACCCGGAGACGCCAUCUGAUACUGCGGUGACGUGGAGUCUGGUAGGGGAACACGGGAAUUCCUGGAUGUAGCGGUGAAAUGCGCAGAUAUCAGGAGGAACACCGAUGGGCGAAGGCAGU
rnacentral:rRNA from 1 species